UCCCUGGAGGACUAGUGGUUAGGCCGCAUUGCUCUCACCGCCGUGGCUCAGGUUUGAUUCCUGCCCAGGGAA